rnacentral:rRNA from 1 species
ACUCCUACGGGAGGCAGCAGUGGGGAAUCUUGGACAAUGGGGGCAACCCUGAUCCAGCCAUGCCGCGUGAGUGAUGAAGGCCUUAGGGUCGUAAAGCUCUUUCGCCUGUGAAGAUAAUGACGGUAGCAGGUAAAGAAACCCCGGCUAACUCCGUGCCAGCAGCCGCGGUAAUACGGGAGGGGGUUAGCGUUGUUCGGAAUUACUGGGCGUAAAGCGCACGUAGGCGGAUCGGAAAGUUGGGGUGAAAUCCCGGGGCUCAACCCCGGAACUGCCUCCAAAACUAUCGGUCUAGAGUUCGAGAGAGGUGAGUGGAAUUCCGAGUGUAGAGGUGAAAUUCGUAGAUAUUCGGAGGAACACCAGUGGCGAAGGCGGCUCACUGGCUCGAUACUGACGCUGAGGUGCGAAAGUGUGGGAGCAAACAGGAUUAGAUACCCGUGGUAGCGACUGA